CUAAAAACAGAGUCCCAGGCAACAGGGACAGAGAGACUGGCCCAGCAGGGGCUCUCUGGGCCAACUGAGCAAGGUGACAGGGCCCAGGAAAGGAGCUGUUGCCUGCACAAGGGCAGAUGGAGUCAAGGAAUCAGUGUUCAUGGGAUCCUGGCUGUCCCCACAGUGUCGUGGCUGAACCUUACAAGAACAGAAGCAAGUGAAGCACAGUCUCUGUGCCCAGAAUCACUGUCUGCCAGGCUCUGGCCAACCUGUAGCCUCUCCGUGCUGAAAACGACCCGCUAAAAAAGCCAAGAGGGAAGGACCCAGCACACAGCCGUGAACCACAUAUACACGAAGAGGGCCUAAAGUGAAAAAGAUAAACUUUAAAUCAAACGGAAACUUUUUCCAGCAACUUCCACUCUUGUGAUACUGAACUGAACUGAAGCAGAAGAUUUUAAGAGUUGCCUGAAUCCUUUGGACCUGCUUAUUGGCUUAAAAAGUCUAAUUGUGAAAUUGACUUAAAAAUUCCUAAUUGUGAAAGAAGGGGUCUCUUCUUUGGCAUGGCACUCUCACUAACAAUUUUCUUGGUAAGAGGACCCAACAAACAGCAAUAGAAAUAGAAAACUAUGGAUUGCUAGGUGAGAGUAUUUUUUAACCUGCUUCAAUCUACAACUGCAAAAUGAACUGGCCCAAUUUAAUUAGAAAAAUUUCAGUUUCUGACCACUGAUCUACAUUACUGAAAGGUUACAUGUGAAAUAAAUGUGGGGUGUGUGUGUGUGUUUGUGUCUGAAAUUGAAUCAUUUUCUAACUCAUUCACUAUAAAAAAGAAAUAGACGGGAUCAUUUGAACUCUGCCUUUGCAAUUUAUCAUCUUCGUGAUCUUAGACAAUCUCUUAAUUUCUCUAAGCUUCCACUUUCUCCUCUAAAAUGGAGUUGAACUCA
rnacentral:lncRNA from 1 species